GUGGGGCAGAGGAACAGAGGGUCAGCCUGAGCAUGGAUGAAGGAUGGGAAACGAGAAGCAUCGAAGAGCACAGGGAAGGAUACCAUCUCUGUUGGUGUCUAUGGGGCCAAGUUCUGUGAGGACAUUUUGCUAGGCAUUCUCUUAAAGUGACCAAGUGCAAGGAGAACCAAGAGAGUGGCAUAGCAGAUGAAACCGGUUUGGCUCAGUGGAUAG